rnacentral:lncRNA from 1 species
GGAGAGAUGAGGGGUACAGCAGAGAUGAGGGGCGCUGGGGAGAUGAAAGGUGCAGUGGAGAUGAGGGGUGCAGGAGAGGUGAGGGGUACAGUGGAGGUGGAGGGUACAGUGGAGGUGAGGGGUACAGUGGAAAUGAGGGGUACAGUGGAGAUGAGGAAUGUGGGGGAGAUGAGGGAUCCCCACCCUCAGUGCUGGCCUGUCUUCGCCUGUAUUCGUGCUCCUCCAUCUGCCCACCCCAGGGUCCACCCACAGCUGGGGUCACAGCUCAGCCACCUGGGCUGAACUUUCCACAUCAGGCUCCACGAGGCUCCACUCCCUCCAGCACCCCACUGGCCACCCAGAGCCCCAAGGCCAGAGCUGUCUUGGAUCCAGCCCCCCACCUGCCCUCACCCCCAAAGUCACCUACAAUUCACCAUGGGGGCUGGGUGAGACCAGAGGCCCUGCCCCUGCCCUCUCCACUUGGAC